rnacentral:rRNA from 1 species
GACGAACCGAGCAACCGUUAUUCGGAAUCACUGGGCUUAAAGGGCGCGUAGGCGGGCAUCCAAGUCUGUGGUGAAAUCCGGCAGCUUAACUGUCGAACUGCCGUGGAUACUGGGUGUCUCGAGGGAGGUAGGGGCGUGCGGAACUAUUGGUGGAGCGGUGAAAUGCGUUGAUAUCAAUAGGAACUCCGGUGGCGAAGGCGGCACGCUGGACCUCUUCUGACGCUGAGGCGCGAAAGCCAGGGGAGCAAACGGG